ACAGUCAUACAAUGGCUGGUACAAAGGGUUGCCAACCCGCGAGGGGGAGCCAAUCCCAUAAAGCCAGUCGUAGUCCGGAUCGCAGUCUGCAACUCGACUGCGUGAAGUCGGAAUCGCUAGUAAUCGUGGAUCAGCAUGUCACGGUGAAUACGUUCCCGGGUCUU
rnacentral:rRNA from 1 species